UACGAGGGGUGCAAGCGUUGCUCGGAAUUAUUGGGCGUAAAGGGUAGGUAGGUGGUCUCGUUUGUCUGGGGUGAAAUCCUUGAGCUUAACUCAAGAAGUGCCCCAGAAACGGCGAGACUAGAGUACUGGAGAGGGUCGUGGAAUUCCCGGUGUAGCGGUGAAAUGCGUAGAGAUCGGGAGGAACACCAGCGGCGAAAGCGGCGACCUGGACAGUCACUGACACUCAACUACGAAAGCGUGGGGAGCAAACAGG
rnacentral:rRNA from 1 species